rnacentral:snRNA from 1 species
AGGCGUGAGGACGACCGGGCUGCGACAUCUGUCACCCCAUUGGUCAGCAGGGUUGAUUAGGCUGAUCUGAUGGCUAGGCAGGUGUCCCCUUCCUCCCUCACCACUCCAUGUGUGUCCCUCCCGAAGCUGUGUGCUCAGUCAAAGAGGACGACCUUCCCCGAAUGGAGGAGGACUGGUCUUCCGUCAAGGGCAUUGGAGUAGUUGUGCUCUCCUGCUAGAACCUCCAAACAAGCUCUCGCUGUGUAAAAUCAUUCAUUAGCACUUUCAAAGCAUACCCCCGCGUUUGCUGGUGCAAGACAUGAGAAGUCCCAGUGGGGUCACAUGACGGCCAGGUUGGGCUUGAUGCU